GAUUCAGUGCUAAAGAACUGAUGAACAAGUAAAUGAGAUACAGAAGCCUAUGAAGUUGGUGUACUACAGGGGCAUUGUUGAGGCCCAUGAAAUCACCAAGCAGUUAAGAGGCACCAUGGACAGAGCAUUGGACCUGGAUUCAGACAAUUUCCAACUGUGUAACCCUUAGGUUUAGCACAGUGCCUGGUGCUUAGGAGGAGCUGAAUAAAUAUAAAUCGAUUGACUGAUUUCCUUGGAUUGCUGAGACAUUACAUGACUUGUCCAGAGAGACACAGUCUAUAUAUGUCAGAGGCUGGAUUUCAACCCAAGUCAUCCUGGCUUGCUCCAUUACUUACUCCAUGACACUGCUUCCCUGGCAGGUGAAUAGAUAUUGUCCUGGGACUUGGAGUAACCCAGGGAGUUCCAGAGGUCCUGGAUCCAUUGAGUGGAUGUAACUACAAGGGAAGUUUCUUCAUCAGAGAAAAUAACCACGGGCAGGGAGAUGAAUGCAAGCUCUGGCCUGGAUUAGCAGAAGAAAUGGACUGGGAGUUUAGACAGAAACAUGUUUAAUUGCAGCAAGUAAAGACAAAGUCUUUUAAUAAUAUUUCUCUACCAUCAUCUCUGUGUUAUAUAUUGAAUCCGGGGGACAUCACAUAUUCCAGUUCAUACCAGAAUCCACUAGCUAAAAGAGUCAUCAGAAAUGAUUUUCCCAGCAGAACUCAGAAACUGAUUUUCAGUC